rnacentral:lncRNA from 1 species
CGAGAAUGUCUCUGAUGGGAUAUAGGUAUAAGUAUCCCUUAGAUCUGAGAUCGCCUCAGUGACUUGCAAGCAACUCACUGUGCUUUGGUACUGGACUAACUGAAUUUCUAAUUCAGGGAUGGAAGGCUUCUAGGCAUAGUCAAGUACUUGCAAAGUUAGAGUGUGAUCGAGAUGGGAUUGACCACUCCAAGAGUUGGAGAAGAAUGAGUCGCUGUAUUUCAAUUUAGCAAAACCUUGGCCAGGAUAAUCCAUCAGAUGGAUUUGAUAUUUUGAAAUACAAUAUGGACAACCUGAUCAGAGUUGACAGUUAAACUCUAAGGUAUCCUAUGAUCAUUUUGGUCAAGAGAAUAAAUUAUAUGAAAACUAUAUCCGCAUGGGUUCUGAGGAUGUUGUUCUACACAUUCGACCUAUCCGAUCGUCGGGUACCAUUGCUAGAUGGUCACUUCGAUUGGUACAAAAAUUUAUUUCUGUGCUACCAACUUAGGUUCGGACCUAUGAGGUCACACACAUUAGAGUUCAUGAUCCGAUCGGAUGGUUGAUCAAUGAUUAAGAAUCGUUCUAGGGUUAAAUGAUCAAUACGAUUGACAUUUAACCCAGUGCAAGUGUUGCAGGAGGAUCGAUUAGCAAUUCGAUUGCUAAUUAGCUUAAUUUGAUUAAGCCAAUAGGAUAAGAUUAAGUCUAAUUAAAUAUAAUUUAAUUAAUUUUGGUUUGGAUUUGAUUGGAUCAAGUCCAAUUGGUUUAUUGGAUAAGCCAAGUGCAAGAAAAAA